UACGUAGGUGGCAAGCGUUGUCCGGAUUUAUUGGGUUUAAAGGGUGCGUAGGCGGCCCUGUAAGUCAGUGCUGAAAUACCCCGGCUUAACCGGGGGGGUGGCAUUGAUACUGCAGGGCUUGAGUACAGAUGAGGUAGGCGGAAUUGACGGUGUAGCGGUGAAAUGCAUAGAUAUCGUCAAGAACACCGAUAGCGAAGGCAGCUUACUGGGCUGUAACUGACGCUGAGGCGCGAAAGCUAGGGUAGCAAACGGG
rnacentral:rRNA from 1 species